AGCAAAGGCAAGGCUAUUGGCAUCGACAAAUUCGGUGCAAGUGCUCCUGCUGGAAAGAUCUACCAGGAGUAUGGCAUCACCGCGGAGAACGUCAUCGCAACAGCAAAGAGCCUGUAAGAUUCAAACCGCGCGUUUUGAGUUUUUGUCAUCGUUGAUGCCAAGGAACAGUAUACAUGAAGCCAUGAAGGUCUUGUGCCCAAAGCUUGGAAUAAUGAAGGGAGAGGGAUGCCUGCAUUGGAGCGUGAG
rnacentral:misc_RNA from 1 species